GAUGAACGCUGGCGGCGUGCCUAAUACAUGCAAGUCGAGCGAACAGAUGAGGAGCUUGCUCCUCUGACGUUAGCGGCGGACGGGUGAGUAACACGUGGAUAACCUACCUAUAAGACUGGGAUAACUUCGGGAAACCGGAGCUAAUACCGGAUAAUAUAUUGAACCGCAUGGUUCAAUAGUGAAAGACGGUUUUGCUGUCACUUAUAGAUGGAUCCGCGCCGCAUUAGCUAGUUGGUAAGGUAACGGCUUACCAAGGCAACGAUGCGUAGCCGACCUGAGAGGGUGAUCGGCCACACUGGAACUGAGACACGGUCCAGACUCCUACGGGAGGCAGCAGUAGGGAAUCUUCCGCAAUGGGCGAAAGCCUGACGGAGCAACGCCGCGUGAGUGAUGAAGGUCUUCGGAUCGUAAAACUCUGUUAUUAGGGAAGAACAAAUGUGUAAGUAACUAUGCGCGUCUUGACGGUACCUAAUCAGAAAACCACGGCUAACUACGUG
rnacentral:rRNA from 1 species